UUAGCAUGCUCUGCUACUCAGACUCUCAGUGCCUGAAUCAUUGGUGCUACAUCUUUUCUCUCCCUCCCCCAAGGGGUGUCCAAGCAGGGUAACCCACAAUAUCUCAAGCCUCAACAUGGGGCUCACCGAUCCCGGCUUGAAUCAGUGUGUAUUUUUUUUCAUCACCGCAGCUACUUUUUGUUAGGGCCCUGAUCUUUGCCCUCUGUUGCUGGCCGUGCAUCUGCGGAUCCUAUGUUGGUGCACUUUCCCUUUUACUAUCUGCACCUUCAGACUCCUCUUCACUCUCGUGUUUUAGACUUUGUUCUUGUCUGUGUCUUCCUGGACCCCAGCUGCUGCUUCUACUGAUUACUGGGUGGCACUCUCCAGGACAAGCUCACUGAGGUCAACUGAGCAGGCUCAGAGCCUUAAAGAGCCAGUGCGUGGAGUUCACCCAACCUGUUCAUCGUACCAGUCCUCUAGGAAGCUCUCAAAGGACCAGUCCAUGAAAUCACAUGUGGUAGAAUGUUAUUUUAAGUGAGAACCCUGACAAGCCUGCUGUCCUCCAGUGUCCUCCUCACUCAGCUUGGUGAGAAUGGAAUCAGAACGGAGUACACCAUAGGACCUACAUCUCCAACAUGUUGACCUCCCAGAAUCCAGAUCCUCCUUUUGUAUAGAUUGGGGAGAAAAGCAAUGUGUCUUCUGACCCCUGGGAAAUGUUCUUCUGCAUACCACACAUACAACAUACCACACAUACAACACACUUGGGACUCCAGCGUUCCUACCCAUCAAUGAAUCGACUGCUUGAAUGGAUCACCCAGACAGGAUCAUCUGAAUCUACACGAAGCCAUAUGUGAUGGUCCAGCAGAAUGGCAGUAGGAAGGAGCACUGCUGGAGACUCCCUGCUCCGCCUCCUGCUGGACUGCAGAAUGUUACAGGGCAGAUGGGAGAAAGAGCGAGCACAGGGGCAUUGUGGGUUGUAACUGUUUAGAAACUUUGAGGCCAGUCUUCGUUGUGACUUGUGCUUUCAAUCUGAAUCCAUCUAAUGCUGAAUCAAAACUUGGUAUUCAGGGGGAAACCUGGAUUCCCUACUUACAAAAAGCAUAAUGUUGUUGUUCCAUGCAUUGCUUCUAAAUAAACAUUAACAGAU